UACGUAGGGGGCGAGCGUUGUCCGAAGUUACUGGGCGUAAAGCGCGCGUAGGCGGCCAUCUAAGUCUGGGGUGAAAGGUUCAACGCUCAACGUGAACAGUGCCCUGGAUACUGGCUGGCUUGAGUUCGGGAGGGGGCAGUGGAAUUCCGGGUGUAGCGGUGAAAUGCGUAGAUAUCCGGAGGAACACCGAUGGCGAAGGCAGCUGCCUGGCACAGAACUGACGCUGAGGUGCGAAAGCGUGGGGAGCGAACGGG
rnacentral:rRNA from 1 species